rnacentral:lncRNA from 1 species
UAACAACAGUAGUAAUAAUAAUAACAACAACAGUAAUACUAUUAAUAGUAAUAAUAAUAAUAAUAUUGAGCAAGACGAAUUAAGUUUAGAAAGUAUGUUUCAUAUUAAUAUAAAAACAUUUAAUAAUCAUAUUUCUACUAUUAAAGAUGUGAAUAAUCGUUUAUAUAUCUAUGGGGAUGACAAUACAGAUAGCAUAAAUGAUAAUUAUAAUAUCAGUGGAUAUAGUAAUAAUAAUUUGGCAAAAUAUUAUGACAGUAGAAAAGAUACUUUUUCAAUUAAGAAAGCUUUACUAAACUAUUUUAAAGAUGUAAAAAGGUAUUUAUAUAAUAUUCGAAAUGAAAAUAUAGUAAAUAUAUUAUUACCUAGAUAUUAUAGUAAUUCUGAUGAUUAUAAUUAUAAAAAUUUUUUAAAUAUUCGAUUUUUUACCAUUGAAAAAUCGGAUAAUAAACAUUUAAUCGCGUUAGAUACUGAAACGGAUUAUGUAUAUAUAUAUAAGAUAAAAAAAAAUGUAUAUUUAGAUGAUGAUGCAUUAGAUGUGAUACCAAAUAAUAAACACCAAGCAAAUAAGCACAUGUUACAAAUGUUUCAACCUUCGCAACGUAUGAAAAAAGAGACAAGGUUAAAAGAGGAGUGGAAAAUAUAUAAUGAAUAUAUUUACGUAAAUACGAAAAAGUUAAAAAGAUAUAUUAAAUAUCAUUUAUUAUAUAUUAUUAAAAAUCAUAAAAAAUUGUUUUUUCCUUUACAUGUGUAUGUAAUAAAUGCCAAGUCAAAUGAGGAUGAGUAUUUUUUAUUUAUAAAAUGGGGAACUAUAAAAAAUACAUAUAUUUAUUCAUCUUACAGUUCGCUCAAUCGAGUAUCAAAAAUGAAGGAGUACUUUAAGAAGAGUGAUGAAAGAAUGCUACAAGUGCUAGAAAAACCGAAAGAUAUAUUUUUAUAUAAUAUUAAUGAUAACAAUAAUGACAACAUGCAUUAUAAUAAUAUGAAUUAUUAUGACAACCCAUAUAUGUAUAAUAGUAGUACCACUGCUGCUAAUAACAUGAAUAUUAAUAAUAGUAAUAACAGGAGCUCUUUUAAUCCUUUGACUGGUAGAAAUACAUAUUUAGAUAAGGACUACUUAUCGGAACGGGGUGGUACUUAUAUGUCUUAUAAUGAUAGGAAUAAAUUAAAAGGCUACAAAGAAGAUUAUUUAAACAUAAAGAAAGGUUAUAACAAUCCGAUAAAUACUGCUACUAGUACUAGUACUACUGCUGAUAGUAAUACUUUUACUACUAAUAUUAUGAAUACAAAUGAGGAUUAUUUAAAUAAAACUCCAAUAAAAAAUUUAUCAAGGAAUUUUUAUACUUCUCCUAUAGGUGCUACUAUGAAUCAGAACAUAGUAAAUGAUUCAGCACUGUCAUAUAAUUACAAGCAAAAUAGUAAAUAUGAUAAAAAUGAUAUAUAUUACAACGAUUAUUAUAAUAACAUUGCAGGGAGUAUUCAUGGUAAGAGUAAUAAUUACAAUAGAAAUAGAGAUAUGGGUAGUAGGGGUUAUUCCAAUGAUCCACAUGAUAUUAAGAAACAAGGUGAAGAGAGCAAAACAGGAGGUUGGAAUUAUUUGAAAAAACUAAACUUAUCUAAUAAAAAGAAUAACGAUGAUAUAUUAAAUGAUACGUAUCGAACUAGUAAGUAUACGUAUAAUAAUAAAACAGACAAUAUUAAAAUGGAACGUAAAACUGCAUACACAUACAAUUUAGAUGAUGAUUUUAUGUCAAAUGGUAUAAAAGGUAGUAAUACUAUUUAUAAUAUGUCUCCUCCACCUAGUAGCAGUAUGAGAUUUAACAGACUUCGUGAUACGUCUGAUCAUUCUAAAAUAAUAAACAAUGAAAAUGCAAAUAUGAAUGAACCUGUAAAUAUAAAUGAUCUAUACUUGAUAAAUAAUAAUAGUAAUACGAGACGUUACACUUCUAAUGAUAUGAAUCGUUAUGAUUCUUAUUUAUUAAAAAAUGAUAUAUAUAAUUUUCGAAAUACGAAUAUCGACACUAAUAAUGAGAAUAGUCGUAGUAAUUAUAUAUACAACAAUGACAUAUAUAAAACAACGAAUGAUAGUAAUAAUUUUACAGAUGACUUAGAUUAUAAAACUUAUGAUAAACUGGGUAGUAUUUAUAACAAUAGAGAUAGUUCGGACAUAAGUCAAAUGUCUAAUGAAAACCAUUUAAGAAGUAGAUAUAGAAAUUUAAAUUUAAGUGAUAGAUAUGAUAAUAGUACAAGUAAAUAUAUAUAGAGAAUGUAUAUAUGCACACGCACAUAUGUAUAUAUAUAUAUAUAUAUAUAUAUAUAAAUAAGAUGCCUUAGCUGUAGGUUGUCAUUCGUAUGGAAAUGCAAGAGUUUACAUUUUUAUAGUUCAUUUAUAAUAUGUUUUGUUUGUGUUUUGUUUGUGUUUGUUUUUUUUUCU